GGGCUGCGUGUGCGCCGCGUGGUGGCGGGGAAUAGACGCUCAAGACAUGGGAGGAGGGGGAGGAGGGCACCCUGUUCCCCCUGGCGGCAGUAGAUUACUGUCGGAGACGAGGAGGAUGGCUGACCUUUAUGCUACACCAGAGGGGGCAAAAGUAUACUCAAAAUCAGCAAAACUACGAGUACAGUAUACUGUACAAGUAUACUUGUAAAAUAAAAAAUUAAAAAAAGUACAGACUCAGGCGCACUCAUAGAUCAGAGGUGCAGUCCGGCUUCGGCUUUCCAGUGUGGAGUUUGCAGGCUCUCCCCGUGCCUGCGUGUGUUUCCACCGGGUGCUACGGUUUCCUCCCACAUUCCAAAACUGACAAGAUGGAGAAUUUCUGAAGGGAAGUGUGUAGUUUUUAGGCUAGCAGGAGGAAAAUAAUGCUUUCACAGCACAUCAUUCUUGAAGCUGACAAGAUGGGGAAUAUCUUGCUAUAGAUAUACAAGUGAAUAAUGGAUUUAAGUGCAGUAAGAGUAUUUGUGUGAAAACUCUGAAGAAGCAACAAAACCACUUUGGGAAAGACGGGAACCUUUAAGAUAAUUUUACAAGUAAAACUUUAUUGGAAUGAUAUUCAUGUUGCAAAAUAUUACACUCAUGUUUUUUUAUGUCACUGUCAUCAUGACUUUCCUUUGCUGCGUGUGCGUGUGUCGUGUGUGUUAAGCUGCAUGUGUGGCAGGGGUUAACAUGGUUUACACAGAAGUCUUUCAUUUCCCUAAAAAUGUGGCAACAUUGCAUUGUGCCUGCUUUGAGGGGAAGUAUCACUGCAGAAACAUCGAUGAGAGACACAAUAUUUUUGGAACUUUAAAUUUUGUUUUGUCCAUGAUGUGAGUCAACAUUGAAUCGGACAUGAAUGGCAUACAGCAAGUGUGAAGUCUUAACAACUGGGUUACAACAGUAUAAAAAAUAGCAAAGUAAUAAUCAUGAUUGAUCUAAUGACAUUGUGAAGUCGACAUCAGAUUGAUUGGUCAAUAAUUCCUCCUCUCCUUAUAAAAGAAAUAGCACUGCUCAGAAAGUGAGCAUUUGUUUCAGUGUCUUGUUAGGUAAGCAUCAGGUAUGUUACAUUUCUUACAGAAAAA